GAUGAAGAACGUAGCGAAAUGCGAUAAGUAAUGGGAAUUGCAGAAUUCAGUGAAUCAUCGAAUCUUUGAACGCACAUUGCGCCCCUUGGUAUUCCGAGGGGCAUGCCUGUUCGAGCGUCAUUAUAACCCCUCAAGCUCAGCUUGGUGUUGGGGCCUGCUGCACUGGCAGCCCUUAAAAUCAGUGGCGGCGCCAUCUGGCUCUAAGCGUAGUAAUUCUUCUCGCUAUGGAGUCCUGGUGGAUGCUUGCCAUCAACCCCCAAUUUUUCUAUGGUUGACCUCGGAUCAGGUAGGGAUACCCGCUGAACUUAAGCAUAUCAAUAAGCGGAGGA
rnacentral:misc_RNA from 1 species